AUACGUAGGUGGCAAGCGUUGUCCGGAAUUAUUGGGCGUAAAGCGCGCGCAGGUGGUUCCUUAAGUCUGAUGUGAAAGCCCCCGGCUCAACCGGGGAGGGUCAUUGGAAACUGGGGAACUUGAGUGCAGAAGAGGAUAGUGGAAUUCCAAGUGUAGCGGUGACAUGGAUAGAGAUUUGGAGGAACACCAGUGGCGAAGGCGACUGUCUGGUCUGAAACUGACACUAAGGCGGGAAAGCGUGGGGAGCAAACAGGAUUAGAUACCCUGGGAGUCCACGCCGUAAACGAUGAGUGCUAAGUGUUGGGGGGUUUCCGCCCCUCAGUGCUGCAGCUAACGCAUUAAGCACUCCGCCUGGGGAGUACGGUCGCAAGACUGAAACUCAAAUGAAUUGACGGGG
rnacentral:rRNA from 1 species